rnacentral:lncRNA from 1 species
CUUGCCUGCUGUCAUGCAACGUGUCUUUGCUCCUCCUUCACCUUCCGCCAUGAUUGUGAGGCUUCCCCAGCCAUGUGGAAACAUAUUCGCAGAGCACCCACUAGGUGCCAGUAAAUGUAUGAGAAGUCCUGUGGAAUAAGACUGAAGUUGUCCUUGCCUUCAAGCAACUUGCAAUUGCCUAAGAACACAGUUUAAAACCACAAAACUAAGCCUUGGAAAUCACAUGCUGUCAUUUCUGCGAUCGGUCAUAACCAGUCCUGAUUCCAUGUUAGAGGAGACUACAUAAGGACACAGGUACCAGAAGCUGGAUCCACUGACCUGGAAUGCCUGGACUGAAGCAGGAGACUAACCAGCAUGGGCUACAUCAAAAAGGCUGCCAUCUACUUUCUGCUGGGUAGGGGCACCAGAGAGACUUGUCAGAAACUAGAAGGAAGGUAGAGUGCGAAAUCUGAGUGUUAAUUCCCUGGCUUCAUCAAAGGACACUGGUCUUCACAAGGAAACAGACUACAUGAUUCUCCUUUUGGGCUUCAGUAAAAACCCCCUCCUUUCAUCCCUUAGUCUAGGGAUGGUAAGAGGUCAGCAGCUAAGAAUUCUAGGUUCUUUGUGGUUUUCCCGUAUACAUGUCUUUGAUGAUAGCCCCUUUGGAAAUAAAUUCUCCUAGACUUUUUUUUAGGGUGAUUGGGUCAUUGUUUUUUCUCCUGGAACCCUGAGUCCUCAAAUCAACCCUAUCUGAAAUGUGCCAUUAUUGCUACAUUUUAUAAUAGAGGAAGACAGAUGGCUUAUAUAAUUUGAUGAAGAUCACAUGUUUUGUAAGAAGAGCUGGGAUUGGAACUGUAGCAGUCUAGCUUUUCAGAUCAUGCUCUUAAUCACCACAAUAAGUAUCAAUAAGUGUCAAUAAUCACUAUAAUAAGUGGCAUUGUAGCAUAAUGACACUCUACUUAGAGCAAUAGCUUAGUUCAAGUCAUCUUUUCCUAUGAAACUUUCCAUUUAUUUGACUAUUACUGUUUCAUAGAACCUACCCCUCAAGUUUAUUGAGGGUCAUACUUAAAUUUUCUAUGCUUAUGCUCUUUUUUAAUACUCACAGAAAGAGUGUACCUAUCUAGGGGGCAGAGACUACAGGUUCAGUUUUUUAACCCACGGCAAGUAGUCCUAUCCUGAGAACAUGGUACAAAUUUAAUAAAUGUUUGCUGAUUUAUUUAAAA